GAACUUUAAGACAAAGAGGGAAUAGAACCAAAGAGUUCUCAAAGAGGGGCUUAGAAAAAUCAUAAGCUUAAAGGUAAAAGACUUUGGAUGGGUAGUGCAUGCAAAGUAAAGUAAAGAAGAUCAGUUGCGAUAUGUUGGAUGCUAAGAACGACACAACGGGGUAAAGAUGCAAAGUAAAGUAAAGAAGAUCAGUUGCGAUAUGUUGGAUGCUAAAAACGACACAACAGGGUAUAUGGAUCUGUUAAGACUUUGAGUUGAGUUCAAGUAGCAAACUUCUUUGACAGGUACGUACUUCAGGAGAUGUUGAUAUUACAACUGUAGCAGAAUUUAUGAUCAGG